rnacentral:lncRNA from 1 species
AAAAACUCUCCAACAAUUAAGAAUACAUUUUUAAAGGAACUUCUUUAAUCUGAUAAGGACUAUAUAUUUUUUAAAACCCUACUGUUAACAUAAAUGCAACUAUUGAGCACUUUCUUCUUGUCAGCCAUGAUCACCACUUUGGCUCAACCUGGUACUGGAGGUCCUGCCCCGUGCAAUAAGGCAAGAAAAAGAAAAAGGCAUGAAGAUUGGAAAGCUGACACCAUGAAUCACAGUGGAAUUCUCCAAAUGGAAUGCAGCCACACCUCAGCUUCUGUGCUGCGUGCUGCCACUGAGGACAUUCGAUACCAUUGAAGCCGUCAGAUAGAGGUGGGUUAU